rnacentral:rRNA from 1 species
UCGAGAAUCUUCGGCAAUGGGCGAAAGCCUGACCGAGCGACGCCGCGUGUGGGAUGAAGGCCUUCGGGUUGUAAACCGCUGUCAGAGGGGAGGAAAUCGGUAGGGGCUAUCCCCUACUGUUGACCUAUCCUCAGAGGAAGGACGGGCUAAGUUCGUGCCAGCAGCCGCGGUAACACGAACCGUCCGAACGUUAUUCGGAAUCAUUGGGCUUAAAGGGUGCGUAGGCGGUGCGGUAAGUUGGGUGUGAAAUCCCUCGGCUUAACCGAGGAACCGCGCCCAAUACUGUCGCACUUGAGGGAGACAGAGGUAAGCGGAACUGAUGGUGGAGCGGUGAAAUGCGUUGAUAUCAUCAGGAACACCAGUGGCGAAAGCGGCUUACUGGGUCUCUUCUGACGCUGAGGCACGAAAGCUAGGGUAGCGAACGGGAUUAGAUACCCCUGUAGUCC